rnacentral:misc_RNA from 1 species
GGUCUAACAGUCGGGCCGACAAAGUAAGAACUAAACACAAACACAAACACUUAAAACUCGAACACCACAGCACAAACAAGUCGGCUGCUACUCUGCUGCAAAUAUAGACAGACAUUGACAGCUGCAAAUAUAGACAGACAUUGACACUUGCUACCUUAAACUAGAAGAAAACAUACAGACAUCAUCAUCCACACAUGCUUGCGACUCUUACUUUAG